rnacentral:rRNA from 1 species
GACGUAGGAUGCAAGCGUUGUCCGGAUUUAUUGGGCGUAAAGAGUUCGUAGGCGGUUCGUUAAGUCUGAUGUUAAAGAUCGGGGCUCAACCCUGGGAGUGCAUUGGAUACUGGCGAACUGGAGUGCGGUAGAGGCUAGUGGAAUUCCCAGUGUAGCGGUGAAAUGCGUAGAUAUUGGGAAGAACACCAGUGGCGUAGGCGACUAGCUGGGCCGUAACUGACGCUGAGGAACGAAAGCCAGGGGAGCGAAAUGGG